GUGCUUGCUUUGGUAGCACAUACACUACGAUUGGAAUGAUACAGGAAAGAUUGGCGUGGGCUCUGUGCAAGGAUGACACAGAGGUUUGUGAAGCAGUCUAUAUUUUC